UACAUGCAAAGAAUAACCUGGCUAUAGGUCUUAUUCAAAUGAAGGUCUUCUUUGUGACAGAGCUUCGUUGUACAAUGGCAGUAAAUGAGGCCAGGCUGGGCAUCCAUGUCCACACCUGUCAGCUGUGAUGGAGAGAGAGAAAAGGUUGGCGGACACACUGCAGAGACCUGCGUAACCUGACAGUCUAAAGAACCAGAUAUGUGUCCAGUGAGCGUGGGCCGAAGAUGUAAAACCCAACUGUUGGAUUGAUGUCAGACAAGCUGUGGUCAGCUUGCCCUGCUUUUCUCUGCCUCUGCCCUGCUUCUGCUCUCCUCCACAUUAUUUUCUCUCUCUCGUCUAUCUUUCACUCAAUUCCAGCCGCCCUGACAAGGAGGAAAAUGAAGAGAUUUUUUUUUGUUGCAACACUCCAGCACCUGCAUCCACUCUCCGACCUGUCAGUAUACAGUUUAAACUGUUUCUCCACUCUUCAAUCAUUGAAACUUUGUCGUUCCACUGCAGCUGUGGUUUUCAUCCACUGACGACCUGAGCGCAUUAAAGUGGAUCUGAUACACAGCAGCCUUUCUAAAAUUGCAUGGAUUGAAUUUCAAUUCAUUUUCUUUCUUUUUUGAACUUUGUCUUAAAUGAAACAUAUUUAUUUGAAAUUAAAAGGAUAAUAUAUAUUGUGGGCUUUAACUGUGUCAAUCAUUCUCAGCUUUUGUAUGCUACACGCAGUGCAACAGAGAUGUUUAUUUUGUUGCACACAUGCCUGCGGUGGAGCGAAACCCCCUUGUGUCUUAAUGGGGUUGAUGGCAAUAAUGAUACAGGUCAGACUCUUACUAUGUGUUCAAAUGGUUCUACAAGCUUGACUCCUGUCUGACUCUGGUAGAAUUAAUAACGUGUCUGCAUCUACACAGACACAGACGACCAUUUUAAAGCUUAUUUAUCACACGAUUACAUUUAUUUUUCAUAAUAUGAGUAAGAAUACCUUUGCCCUCACACAGUUGAUGUAGUACGGAAGCCUGUUAGGGCCAGGCAUGAGGGGAAAGUUGAGAGGUUUUUUUUCUAUUUUGCAUCUUGAGAAUAAAGUUGAAAUAUCAGGAAUAAAGUUGAGAUUUCAGUCUAUGAACCAACACUAGCAGUGUUAGGUCUGUUUAUUCUCCAUGUUUCAUAUUUAUCCUUAAAAUGCUAUUUUUGACUUUAUUCUUAACAUUUCCACUUUAUUGUACAAAUGGUACUUUGACUUUAUACUCAACAGUUUGACUUUUUCUCCAAAUGCAAAAUAAAUUCAUGAACAAAA